GGCUCUGUGCUUCCGCCUGCAGGGACAACUUUAAAUUCUGAUUAUAACAUGCAGUAGGCUGACAUAAAGAGCCUCAUGAGGCUCACCGAGGCAGCUGAAGCAGCAAGAAGCCACAGGAACCUAAUGAGAAGCAUUUUGUUCAGUUUCUCUCUAAGAAGUCACCACAAGCAAAGCUCAACAAUGCAAGGCUGUUUGAUUCUAUCUAAAGUUUCACUUCUGACUUAGAGCUUAAAAUCACAAGGCCAAAGACAUAGCUCAGUGAUUAAGAACACUUUCGGCUCCUGAAGAGAACCCAUCUUCAAUUCCCAGCACGAAACGGCACCGCACAAUCAUCUGGAAUCAGCUCUA